CCCAGACUCCUACGGGAGGCAGCAGUGAGGAAUAUUGGUCAAUGGGCUUACGCCUGAACCAGCCAAGUCGCGUGAGGGAAGACUGCCCUAUGGGUUGUAAACCUCUUUUGUCAGGGAGCAAUUGGCGCUACGUGUAGCGUUAUCGAGAGUACCUGAAGAAAAAGCAUCGGCUAACUCCGUGCCAGCAGCCGCGGUAAUACGGAGGAUGCGAGCGUUAUCCGGAUUUAUUGGGUUUAAAGGGUGCGUAGGCGGAGUGUCAAGUCAGCGGUAAAAUUUCGGGGCUCAACCCCGUCGUGCCGUUGAAACUGACGCCCUUGAGUGAGUGAGAAGUAAGCGGAAUGCGUGGUGUAGCGGUGAAAUGCAUAGAUAUCACGCAGAACGCCGAUUGCGAAGGCAGCAUACCGGCGCCCAACUGACGCUGAAGCACGAAAGCGUGGGUAUCGAACAGGAUUAGAUACCCGAGUA
rnacentral:rRNA from 1 species